AUACGGAGGAUCCGAGCGUUAUCCGGAUUUAUUGGGUUUAAAGGGAGCGUAGGCGGACUAUUAAGUCAGCUGUGAAAGCUUGCGGCUCAACCGUAAAAUUGCAGUUGAUACUGGUCGUCUUGAGUGCAGUAGAGGUAGGCGGAAUUCGUGGUGUAGCGGGGAAAUGCUUAGAUAUCACGAAGAACUCCGAUUGCGAAGGCAGCUUACUGGACUGUAACUGACGCUGAUGCUCGAAAGUGCGGGUAUCAAACAGGAUUAGAUACCCUGGUAGUCCACACAGUAAACGAUGAAUACUCGCUGUUUGCGAUAUACGGCAAGCGGCCAAGCGAAAGCAUUAAGUAUUCCACCUGGGGAGUACGCCGGCAACGGUGAAACUCAAAGGAAUUGACGGGG
rnacentral:rRNA from 1 species